CAUUUAGCUGGUUGAUUUAGAAAAUCUUAAUUUGGAGGUACUGGUUGGUGAGUGCUGUUAAUUUGGUAUCAAUGGCGGAGUUGGGUGGGCCAAGAUUGUACAGUUGCUGUAAUUNNNNNNNNNNNACUCCACGAUGAUGUAAUUUCUAAGGCUUUUCAGGGGCGACAUGGUCGAGCCUUUUUAUUCUCUCAUGCAAUGAACAUUAUGGUUGGGCCAAGGGA
rnacentral:misc_RNA from 1 species